CAUCUCACAAAUAGUCCAAGGAUACAAAACUAGUUAGUGAUAAAGCUUGUACCUAAACCCAGAUCUUCUGAUUCUAAAGUCCCUGCAGAUUAAAAUGAGAAGGUAAAACAUGAGGCCCUGGAGUUCUGAAACUGACAAGGCCAUGGUCCCUUCACUCGCAGAGUUCUAGAGUCUGGAAGACAGUUCAACUGCGAAUCAACUGUAAUCCCAGCUGUUAAUGGGUCACCAAUGAUGUACACAUCUGGGCUGCUUCAGAGGGCGCCUAGCCCACAGGGGCAGCACCGUGACUGGUUAUGCUUCCUUCCUUUGUUCACCCAACAAACGCUGACUCAAACACCUACUAAGAGCCAGGCUGAGGAUCUGAAGAAUUAGGACAAGACACACAGGCAUAGUUUAAACAUCGUCACAGCAGAUGAUGCCUCAGAAAGUGCAUUUGAGAACGUGAGACAGAAGACUCAUCUGUGUCCGUGGUCCACAUAAAGAAGAAAAUUCAGAGCCCUCUGAACCAACCGAAUGCAAUAAACACCUUCAAAACUA